rnacentral:rRNA from 1 species
AUUGAACGCUGGCGGCAGGCCUAACACAUGCAAGUCGAGCGGACGAAGGGAGCUUGCUCCUGGAUUCAGCGGCGGACGGGCGAGUAAUGCCUAGGAAGCUACCUGGUAGAGGGGGAUAACGUCCGUAAACGGGCGCUAAUACCGCAUACGUCCAGAGGGUGAAAGUGGGGGAUCUUCGGACCUCACGCGAUUAGCUGAGCCUAGGUCGGAUUAGCUAGUUGGUGAGGUAAAGGCCUACCAAGGCGACGAUCCGUAACUGGUCUGAGAGGAUGAUCAGUCACACUGGAACUGAGACACGGUCCAGACUCCUACGGGAGGCAGCAGUGGGGAAUAUUGGACAAUGGGCGAGAGCCUGAUCCAGCCAUGCCGCGUGUGUGAAGAAGGUCUUCGGAUUGUAAAGCACUUUAAGUUGGGAGGAAGGGCAGUAAGUUAAUACCUUGCUGUUUUGACGUUACCAACAGAAUAAGCACCGGCUAACUUCGUG